AGGACGAACGCUGGCGGCGUGCUUAACACAUGCAAGUCACGGGGGCCCGUAGCAAUACGGGCAACCGGCGAACGGGUGCGUAACACGUGAGCAAUCUGCCGAUCUCUGGGGGAUAGCCAGCCUAACGGCUGGGUAAUACCGCAUACGCUCGUUGGGGGGAGUCCCCUGAUGAGGAAACCUCUGGGGGAGAUCGAGGAGCUCGCGACCUAUCAGCUAGUUGGCGGGGUAACGGCCCACCAAGGCAGCGACGGGUAGCUGGUCUGAGGGGAUGGCCAGCCACAUUGGGACUGCGACACGGCCCAGACUCCUACGGGAGGCAGCAGUGGGGAAUAUUGCGCAAUGGACGAAAGUCUGACGCAGCGACGCCGCGUGUGGGAUGAAGCCUUUCGGGGUGUAAACCACUGUUGCCCGGGACGAAACUCCUCUUUCGAGAGGAUUGACGGUACCGGGUGAGGAAGCACCGGCUAACUCUGUGCCAGCAGCCGCGGU
rnacentral:rRNA from 1 species